rfam:Vibrio aerogenes CECT 7868 genome assembly, contig: 0040
AUUCGUCGUCGUAUAAAACAUCUCAAAUCAACGAACAACCAAAGGAUGAGCAGACACGACGUCUGUUCAAAAUUUUUAUCGCCACGGAUGGCGAUAAAAACUGGUCCUGUCCCGCGCGCGUUUAAGUCAAAGAUAAAAAGACUUUUUCGGCGGUUUUU